CCCGCUACGCCGCCGGCUGUGAUCGCGGCCGGAGUUCGCAGUGUCCCCUCCGCGGGGAGCCUCGUCCCCGCCCGUCUGAGUCGCUCCGGACCGUGCAGCGUCGGCUGAGGAGACCGCUCUCAUGGCCGCCACUCCACGUCGUGCAUAGAUGCGGGACCGGUGCGGCUGAUGGAGACGUCUGCCUCCCCCGCGGACCGGGUCGCACCAUGAUCGCCGUCUGCGCCGUGCUCCUGGCCAUUACACCCGCCAUCGGUCUGGAGACGCCGCGCGGUCGUCACGUGACCGCC